CCUACGGGAGGCAGCAGUAGGGAAUUUUCGGCAAUGGGGGGAACCCUGACCGAGCAACGCCGCGUGAACGAAGAAGUUAUUCGUAAUGUAAAGUUCUUUUAACAGGGAAGAAAGAGAAAUUUGACGGUACCUGAAGAAUAAGCCCCGGCUAACUACGUGCCAGCAGCCGCGGUAAUACGUAGGGAGCGAGCGUUAUCAGGAAUUAUUGGGCGAAAGGGGUGCGUAGAUGGCAUAGUAAGUCUUUUGUAAAAAUGCUGGGCUCAACCCAGUAGGGCAAAAGAUACUGCAAAGCUAGAGUAUGACAGAGGCAAGUGGAACUACAGGUGUAGCGGUAAAAUGCGUAAAUAUAUGUAAGAACACCAGUGGCGAAGGCGGCUUGCUGGGUCGAUACUGACAUUGAGGCACGAAAGCGUGGGGAGCAAACAGGAUUAGAUACCCUUGUAGUC
rnacentral:rRNA from 1 species